UGUACUGGUGGCUCAGUGGUUGAGGCUUUAAAUUACAGAUUUAAAGGUCUGGGUUCAAAUUCCAGCACUGCCA